AUUGAACGCUGGCGGCAUGCCUUACACAUGCAAGUCGAACGGCAGCACGGGAGCAAUCCUGGUGGCGAGUGGCGAACGGGUGAGUAAUAUAUCGGAACGUGCCCGGUCGUGGGGAUAACGUAGCGAAAGCUACGCUAAUACCGCAUACGAUCUACGGAUGAAAGCGGGGGAUCGCAAGACCUCGCGCGAUUGGAGCGGCCGAUAUCAGAUUAGGUAGUUGGUGAGGUAAAGGCUCACCAAGCCGACGAUCUGUAGCUGGUCUGAGAGGACGACCAGCCACACUGGGACUGAGACACGGCCCAGACUCCUACGGGAGGCAGCAGUGGGGAAUUUUGGACAAUGGGCGCAAGCCUGAUCCAGCAAUGCCGCGUGCAGGAUGAAGGCCUUCGGUU
rnacentral:rRNA from 1 species